rfam:HIV-1 isolate 02CM.1918LE from Cameroon gag protein (gag) and pol protein (pol) genes, partial cds; vif protein (vif), vpr protein (vpr), tat protein (tat), rev protein (rev), vpu protein (vpu), and envelope glycoprotein (env) genes, comple
GGCCGGGGGGACGGAAAAGAUAUAGAUUAAAACAUUUAGUAUGGGCAAGCAGAGAGCUGGAAAGAUUCGCACUUAACCCUAGCC